UACGUAGGGUGCAAGCGUUAAUCGGAAUUACUGGGCGUAAAGCGUGCGCAGGCGGUUUUGUAAGUCUGUCGUGAAAUCCCCGGGCUCAACCUGGGAAUUGCGAUGGAGACUGCAAGGCUAGAAUCUGGCAGAGGGGGGUAGAAUUCCACGUGUAGCAGUGAAAUGCGUAGAGAUGUGGAGGAACACCGAUGGCGAAGGCAGCCCCCUGGGUCAAGAUUGGCGCUCAUGCACGAAAGCGUGGGGAGCAAACGAGG
rnacentral:rRNA from 1 species